UGAUAUUUUAUUCAGUAAUAAACUUACAUCAGGAAAAAGUGAAAUAAGAUGCAAAAUUCAGACACUAGCUGUGGAACAUUGCUUGUCACUUUAAUAAACUCUCUGAUUUAUGGGAAACUAGCUAAACAACACAAAUACAAACACACAAAAAAAGUAAAAGAAUUCAAAGAGGAAAUUGGCAUAUUAGUUAGAGAGAAAGCAAACUGUAAAGAAUGUACCAUCUUGCAUGAAGACUGGUCUCCCUAUAACAUUAAAAAUAAAUAAGUGAUAUGAUGUUGGAUAUGAAAGAUCUUAUUACAUGCAGUUGUUUCAGGA
rnacentral:lncRNA from 1 species